rnacentral:piRNA from 1 species
UGAGACUUCAUAUUCUUUCUACAUCUCCAG